UCCAUCUCUCGUGCUCUGUCCGUAUCUCUCUCCCCACCACACAUCCAUAGAUCCACCACGCACGCACAUCCCGCCACUUCUUCGGCACAUCGCACCCCACACCCAACGAUCCUACACACGCUUCCUUCCCUUCCUUCCAGAAGACCACCUCCCUCACCGCUUUUCCUUUUUUUUUGCUGUGUGUGCGCCGACGUGCUGCUGGACCGCCUUGCACACGCGCACGGGCUUCCAGGGAAGCAAGACCACCUAGCUAGGCACACGUGUUUUUCUUGUUUGCUUCUACGAAUCGCCCACAGCACAUCCCAAUACGAUGUCGUACACCGGCGAGGAAUCCACUGGCAUGCCGCCGCAGCCGCCGAUGAUGGGGCCUGGCUCUGCGACGGCCGAUCAGACCAGCAUCGUCUCGGGCGGCAAGCUCGGUGGCAAGGGCAAGGGCAAGGGCAAAGGUAAGGGCAAGCGCGGUGGCAAGACUGGCGGCAAGGCAGGCCGUCGCGAUCGCAUGUCGCGUGCCGCGCGCGCAGAGUUGAACUUCCCGGUCGGCCGCAUUCACUCUCGCUUGAAGGAUGGCCUCUACCGCAAGCAGCGUUGCGGUGCAUCUGCCGCCAUAUACUGCGCCGCUCUGCUGGAAUAUCUCACGACGGAGGUGAUCGAGCUCUCCGGUGCGGCGGCGAAGGCUCAGAAGACGGAGCGCAUCAAGCCGCGCCACCUGCUGCUCGCCAUUCGAGGUGAUGAGGAGCUGAAUCAGGUAGUGAAGGCGACCAUCUCGCGCGGUGGUGUGGUGCCGAAUGUGCACAAAGCAUUGGAGAAGAAGUCCAAGAAGAAGAGCGCCAAGCGUGCCGCGUAGGCUCUGCCCCUCCCCGCCAUGCUACAUGCAGCCACUACACCGAGUGUGUAUGAACGCACUGAUAUGCUGGCGCGUUUCUCUUCCGUGUGCUCACGCAUGCACUUGGUGUGUUGACGUCUGCAAGGGAGAGCUGAACAGAUGAUGUAGCCGCGCAGGCUCUUUAGUUUCCGUUUCAGUGUUAUUGUUGUCGUGGCGGCGGUGAGCUCAGUGGGUGCUGUGGAGGGUGGCGGUGGCGGAGGGGUAGAACUAGACAACCAGGAGGCCAGGCAAAACGUGUGCGUGUGCGUGUGUGUCCAGUUGCACCAUGCAACACCACUGGGUGGUGCCCGUCUGUAUGCCUGUCGAGGCAGAGGGGCAUGGGGAAGACACGGGCGAGAGUGUGUGUGCAAAAAAGGCUAAAGCUGUGUGUGGCACGCGCUGCUUUUCCUUUCCAGGCGUUCCCUUUCCGAAGCUCACGUCUGUGCCACAGAUCAGCACACAACUUGUGGGUGGGUAGGUAGGUGGGGGACGGAUGGAGCUUGCGGUCCCCUUCUUGCCCAGCUGGACGUUUGAUGCCCCCCUUUCCCUCCCUCUCUGCCCCCCUCCUUCCCCUCUCCUUCCCCUCUCCUCACCCUCCCACCCCACCCCAACUCUCUCUCUGAGCGUCAGUCAGCCUUCAUGAGGGCUGCUCCGACCGUUCUACAUAGAUGAUGCCUCAUUUCUUCGGUUUCUAUAUAAAGCGGCAUGUGCUCCCUUUUUGCGUUGUUGCCUCCGUGUGUGUGCGUGUGUCUCUCCGGGUACGACCUCCGUGAUGGUCGAACUGUGUACGUGUAGGCAGAGGGGAGAGCGAUCUAUUUGUGCUGCGGCAACGGAGGUGGCAGAGCCAGAGGCGAAAAGAGUACGGGCCAGCGCAGUGGUGGCUUGAUGAGUGUGCGUCGGGGAAGGCUGCUGCUGCUGCUUUAUUCGUUGCUCUCCUUCAUGUGUGUUUUCCUUCUUCGUGUGUGACGUAUGCGAUCCACAUGGGCGUGCGUGAUGCACCUCUUCUUUCUAUAUCAUCUCGCUCUUCCCACAUGGCACAUACACGCAAAACAUGCCAUGCGACGCGUACGGCUGCACAGACGUUGGCUAAACGCCUUCCCCUCCUCGCCCUUUCCUUCUUUCGCUUUCUUCUUUUCUUGUUAGAGUUGUACGAAACCGCGGUGGAUGCAUCGUGUUUGCUCCUGUUAUGUCCGUGCGUGCGUGCGUCUGCUGGUUCGCCCCACCACUGCCCCCUUUUUUUGCUCAUAAAUCUAUGUACACGCUCUGCUGCCGCGCCGCCGUUGUCUUCGGCGCUGAUUCGUCUCCCCGCACACCUUUGUGUGUGUGUGUGUGUGCAGUGACCCCGAGUAGAGCCCUCACCCAGACCUAGACCUGAAAGCACAGAGGCACCCGCAGGCACACCCACUGACAGACACAGGCCUCGUGGGUGUUGUGCCACCCGCCUCCCCCUGCGCGCGCAAUAUAGAAACCGCACCGCCAACAUCCGUCACCUCAGCGCGCUCCACUGCAUGCGCCCCCUUGUGUCAUCGCUGGAGCGGGGCGGUGUUGAUGGGGGCACUCAUGUGGGCAGACACACAUACACACACAGAGUGCGGGAGAGACACAGACACGUGUGCAUGCACACAUUCUUACGUGCAGUCGGUGCGGAGAGCAGGCGUGCGAGAGAGAGGAGAGGGAAAGAGAGGCGAACUCGUUGGCGUUGACAUUGAGAGCGCCUUGCUCCUCUUUCACGUUUUUCUUUGUGCGCGUGUGCGUGUAAAGGCGCAUGUGCGGAUGCGACUGAGCGUUGUGUGUACAGAAGCAGAAGUGUAGUGCAGCAAAGAACAGAAAGGUGUGUACACAUCGAGCAAGGGGGAGGGCCGCGUAAACGUGAGCCAACUUGCACUCGCACACGUACACGUGGUGACGAGAGAAAGAACCCGUCUUUUCUCUAUCCGGCGCGGUUCGCCCCUUCUCCGCAAGCUGCAGACGGCGGUCUUUUGUUUUCGUGGCCGUCUUGGCAAACUGACGAGAGAGGAGAUAGAGGAUUGUGAAGAAAGGAGGUGGUGGGAAGGGGAUGAAGAGGCCCUCGGCCCUUUGAGGUCUUCCCCACAUCUCACAUUCAUCUCUGUAUUUCUCGUUGCCCCCUCGAUGCCCUUU
rnacentral:misc_RNA from 1 species